AAAUUUCUUUGAGUCUGUAAGUUCUCCACUUACGAAAUAUAUUAUGGCUGAAGGUCGAAGGAAGAAGACAUUAAACCUUUGCCCACUUAUGGCAAUUACUCUGGAGACAACCACUGCUUGGAAAACAAGUAUUAUGAGCUACCUUGUAGCUUGUCUUAUGAAAGUGGAAAGAUCUUGUCGCAGCCCCAAAAAGCUCGCUUUACCCUGCCCUGAAGAACUAUAGCCACAAUGGUUCCUGCUGAAGAGGACUCUUGAAAGUCACCAGGAGUGUCCUUUAAUUUCCUGAAGGAAGGAGGUGACAACAUUUUUGGAGCCUCAUUCUGAAUAGUUUCACAGGGGCCAAAGAUGCUUCCUUUCCCAGUUCACUGGCUAGUUUGUCUGUUUUUCAACGAUACAAUUUGUUAGUAUCUGAACAAGGAAAUCGCCGCUAUUUACAUGGAAAGAAUCAUAGAGAUGACAGGGUUCCCCCCCAAAGCACUCACUGUGUAAUUGCUGAAGACAUUCCAAGCCACUCUAACGAAGUGUACUGUCUGCCAGUCAUUAUGCUCUUCUUGGAAGACCAUCUGUUGCACUUCAAAUAUGUAAAGGAAUACUUGGAUUCCAGUAACUUGAGCUACUUGUUUACAGAAAAACACACAUUGUGUAAGUAUUCUGCUGUACCUUUUACACUUGACAUAUUUAUACACAUGCUUGUAGCAUUAUGUAUAGUGCACGUUUUGGUAACUUUGCAGCGACUUGAUCGUAUUGUUAAAGCUUGAUAGACAUUUCUUUACAGUGACGAUAUUUUUAAUCUUUUUUAAAAUGGUUUGGUAGUAGUGACUAAUGCCGACUAGGUGGCUCUGGGCAUCUAGCCAUUUUUAGGUAGUUUAAUUUGUUAAAAAUUAUCUUUCUUCCCACCCAAAUCCCCUUGAAACCAUUUGGAGAAGAGAACUGUCGAACAGUUGCCAAUAAUAAGUCCUGCUGAGACCUCUAUACUCUCCUGAUAGAACUGCCUGUGCCAACUGGAGACUGACUGGCAUGAAUUUGAACUCUAUACUACUUGAUAUAUUUGCUUCACAUGAACCAAUUACAAUAAUUACCACCUUUGUAGCUGAAGUUUAAGCAUUCAGUCUGCACUUCAUACCUCAGGUUGCUGGCAAUAUGUUCAAUCCUAUAAUCUCAAUUUUUGUUGAGCUAAUAAAGUAGAAAAUAAAUACUUUGAAAAAUUAAGA
rnacentral:lncRNA from 1 species